AAUUCAAUCCCGUCAACCCUAGCGAAGGCCAAUCAAGGAAACAUUUUAUGAAAAAGUCAUCUAAAAUCUUCCAUCCCCAACAUUUUGCACAAACUUGUAAGUGACACAUUUUCUUAAAUCUUAUUAUCUCAAACUAAUUUGGGACUAAACCUGCGUUUGUUACGGAGCUAACAAACUUUAAUCAUCUGUUUUACUGAACGAUAAACUGGUUGUUUCGCUUCAUGCCCUUUUGGCCUGCGUCAACUGACCUAAAUUGGCCUAGACUGUUGAUACGGUCGUUUUAACAGUUAUAAAAUACGUGAAACACUCAUUAAGAUGAUAUUUAGUCAAUUUGAAGUGUUCAAGUUACUUGACAAGCGGAAAUCAUAGAAAAAAUGGCGGUGCGUACACUAACCUUUUUGUCAACAGGUGAACAUGAUCGAAAAUUCAGAACGGAUCGUCGAACAUGUUAAAGACACUGUUAUGGACGUUUGUAGACUUAGUUUGGCCAGUGAAAAUAAGUAUACAGUAGACGGUUUAAUUGGUGUUACUCUAAGUGCCAAUAAGGAAGUGAUUUUAAUCAAAAUCAAUGAAGCUGUUGUCAAUUCAACUGGAAUUGAUCAUAAUGACGAUUCACCAGCUACGAGUAUUCCAGAAUUCGGGGAUGAAAAUGGACCAAUAACAAUGAAAAAUGACGAAUGCAAAUCGGCUAUAGAAGAUUUUGUUUCUGGUCCACAGAUGCAUAAAGUAGAAAGAGCUCGAAUAAAACGACUAAUUUUUGAUACAGUGAUGAUGUUGUGUAAAAGCUCAUUAAAAGAUAUAGAUUUUCAGGUUGAUGGUUUAAUAGGAAUUACACUGGCUGGUAGUGAGGUUUUUUUAAUAAAAUUCGAUCAGCAUGUUAAAUCUCGAUUGGACAUUUGCUCUAUUGCUCGAGCUAGUGGGAUUUUACCGGAAGAAAAUAACAAUGAUACAACUAAUCUUGCAGGAGAAAUGGUGGAAGAAGAUAAAAAACCCGACUUACAAACCCUUGAAUCCAUUCCGUUUCACCCUCCCUCAAAUAUUCCUGUUCCUAUUAUGGGCGUUCCACAAGAUUUAGGUCAUUCAGUAGAAAUGACACAACUCCAAUCUUCCGGUCCUAUGGGAUACCAACCUGUUAUACAACAUACAACCAUGAUGAUGCAACACAACCAAAAUAUGCAUCAAAUACAAUAUCCUGGUGGACCACCGACGCAUUGGAACGCUCAACCAGACAAGACAUACACCGAACUUAAAUCGCCCAAGGAAGAAGCCAUGAUGUCCCAACAAAUUACCAUGUCUCCAAUUAGAACGCCAGAUAAGGAUAUGAACCGAAAGAAAAGAUCUUUUCAAUGUGACCGAUGUACAAAGAUGUUUACUUGCAGGGCUCUGUUGGACAAUCAUAUAAGAACGCACACGGGGGAAAAGCCAUUUACAUGCGACAUUUGCCACAAAUCGUUCAAAGAAAAAUCGCAUCUUCGACGCCAUAAAUGGACACAUGAUGAUACAAGGCCGCAUAAUUGUUCCCAUUGCAAUAAGGGAUUUAUCACUAAAGGUGAAUUCAGAAAUCAUAUGAAGAGGUAUCACGAAGUGGAGAUCCCCUGAAAGAUAACAAAAGCGUGAAAGAGAGAGUGAGUGAGAAUUUUUAGACCCAAUCCCAAACAACAUAGUCUUUCGCUAACGUUCCAAGUUAUUACUUCUCUCCUUUAUUUUCUAUUUCUAACGCUUGAGAUUAUAUUAAUAGCAUCUACCGUCUACUUUUUUAUAAAAAUUUUACACAACUAAGCACAACGUAUGCUUUUUUUUGCAAAAAGACUAACUAUUGGAUAAACUGUUUUUCUUCAUUAUUGAGCCAUUCAGAGGACGAACUGUGAUACCUGUGCUAGGUGAUGUAUAGUUAAAGAGAGAGAGAGAGAGAGAGAGAGAGAGAGAGAGAGAAUAGGGAAAAAGCGAAAAUACUCUACUAAAACUACUUUCUUCUUUGUUUUUGGUUUUUUUUCUCAUCAAAAUUUAAAAGAUCAAUAGUUUUUAUUUCCUUCUUUUCUUUUUUAUAUUAUUUAAGAUAAAACGAGAAAAGAUGGAUUAUGGGCAAAUUUCUAUUCUUUCAUAAUAUUCAAAGGCAAAACAACGGAGGUGGGAGGGGAGAGAAUUAACGAUAAGAAAUAUAUUUUUGUUUUUCGCUCUACACCAAAAAUAGAUUAUUUUUCGUUUUUUCAAUUCUUCCCCUAACUCUUUAAUAUAUUUCACCGCCUGUGUUCACGUGGGUAGACGAGAAUAAAGAUGUGGUGGAGGGGGGGAGGAGGGUAAGAGUACGGGUUAGGGUGGGCCAGAUAGAUAUAAAAUGAAUCUACCUAUGACAUUACGAGACUUGUGAUUAUAUUUUAUUAUUUCAAUGGAGAAAAAAAACGAAAAAUGAAAGCAAAACUUUGUUGUUAAAUAUUUUAUAUAAAGGAAAAAAGAUAGAGAGGAAAAAGUGUAUAAAUAGUAAAAAGUUAGUUCACCCAUAAGUCUUUUUCAUCUCAAAUCUUGUUUAACUUUUUAAAAUUUUUUACUCUCUCUUUGCGUGCUUCUCUAAAAAAAAACUUGUAUAAAAAAAUUCGGCUCAUACGUGCCUUAUUAUGUAAAAAACAAAAACAAAAAGUUAAAAAACAAAAGAAAGAAAGAAAGAAAACAAAAAGAAAGAAAAACUUUUUUUUAGUUUAUAGGUUUUUUUUUGUUUUUGUUUUGUAUUGUUUUUUUUUUCUUUUGUUGUUUAUCUUUUUAUUUUAAAUUUGUGAACCAUUUCUAUUAAUACGAAAAUAUUAUAUGCAAUCAAAGUUUUCAUUUCUACAUUGUGCUCAUGUAUACGCAUUAUACGUGCCAUUUUUUAAAAUUGUAGAAUUUUUUGGUUUUUUUUUUCUUCUUCUUUUGUUUGUUUUUUUUUUCAUCCUUUAUUUAGAGGAGAAAAAGAAAAAGGCCAUUUAAUCGUCAUGUAGUUGAUUUAGUUUAUUAAAAUUUUAUUUUUUAUAUUCCCUUCCCUUCUUCCUUCCCUUUCCCCCAAAACAAUGUUUUAAUUUCUUUCUUUUUCUUUCACUUUUUUUUUUGUAUAUUGUAUAAAUAAUUAAGCAAAUACAUAUUAUAUAUAUAUAUAUGUGUUUGUAUAGUUUUAUACAUUGUUUUUUCUUUUUGUCUAAAACUUAUGUGUUUAUAUAUUUAUAUAUAAAUGAAUAGUUUUUAUUUUUUUAUAAAUUAUGACAAAAAAGUUUGUGCUAUACAGGGAAUU
rnacentral:misc_RNA from 1 species